UACGGAGGGUCCGAGCGUUAAUCGGAAUUACUGGGCGUAAAGCGUGCGCAGGCGGUUUGUUAAGCGAGAUGUGAAAGCCCCGGGCUCAACCUGGGAAUUGCAUUUCGAACUGGCAAACUAGAGUCUUGUAGAGGGGGGUAGAAUUCCAGGUGUAGCGGUGAAAUGCGUAGAGAUCUGGAGGAAUACCGGUGGCGAAGGCGGCCCCCUGGACAAAGACUGACGCUCAGGCACGAAAGCGUGGGGAGCAAACAGG
rnacentral:rRNA from 1 species